rnacentral:rRNA from 1 species
GUGCCAGCAGCCGCGGUAAUACGUAGGGUGCGAGCGUUAAUCGGAAUUACUGGGCGUAAAGGGUGCGCAGGCGGUUCUGUAAGUCAGAUGUGAAAUCCCCGGGCUUAACCUGGGAACUGCGUUUGAAACUACAGAGCUAGAGUGUGGCAGAGGGGGGUGGAAUUCCAUGUGUAGCAGUGAAAUGCGUAGAGAUAUGGAAGAACAUCGAUGGCGAAGGCAGCCCCCUGGGUUAACACUGACGCUCAUGCACGAAAGCGUGGGGAGCAAACAGGAUUAGAUACCCCUGUAGUCC